AAAAAGAAGUACAAAAAAAUUCCAAGUACACAAAAAAUGAUAAAUAAAAUACGAAAAGUGUACAUUACUGCCGAAAAAAAGACGGUAAUUGGGCAGCAAUUUUGAAAAAUUUAUUUCUCUCAAUUGGCUUACUGUUUUUAGUUCGUUCCAGUGCCAUUAUUGAGUUGAGACAUUGAAGUUUGUGUGGUUAAUUUUUCACAUUCCAGUUCG
rnacentral:lncRNA from 1 species